UAGUCCACGCCCUAAACGAUGUUCACUGGAUGUGUGUAUUUAUAUGCGCAUCUGAGCGAAAGCAUUAAGUGAACCACCUGGGGAGUACGCCCGCAAGGGUGAAACUCAAAGGAAUUGACGGGGGCCCGCACAAGCGGUGGAGCAUGUGGUUUAAUUCGAUGAUACGCGAGGAACCUUACCAGGGCUUAAAUGCAUAACGAUCGUCAUGGAAACAUGAUUUUCUUCGGACGGAAUGCAAGGUGCUGCAUGGUUGUCGUCAGCUCGUGCCGUGAGGUGUCGGGUUAAGUCCCAUAACGAGCGCAACCCCUAUUCUUAGUUGCCAGCGGAUAAUGCCGGGGACUCUAAGAAAACUGCCAGUGUAAGCUGUGAGGAAGGUGGGGAUGACGUCAAAUCAUCACGGCCCUUACGUCCUGGGCUACACACGUGCUACAAUGGUCGGUACAGAGGGCAGCUACCUAGUGAUAGGAUGCAAAUCUCUAAAGCCGGCCCUAGUUCGAAUUGG
rnacentral:rRNA from 1 species